CGGCCCGUUCCACACCCACGGCCUUCUCCCCGUCACGAUGCCUCCACGAUCCCGGAUCCCCACCCCGCCGGCCCUGCGCCUCACCUUCCGGCCAGCCCCGCGCCAACGACCCCGCGCCUCCCCUCCCCGCCGGUCCCGCGUGCCUCCUGGAUCGUGUCGCCACCGGACACCCACGCCGCCGUCCUCUGCCCCAACCACUUCUGCCACUUACAUCUGCCCCGACCACUUCAGCCGCCGUCGUCCUCCCGCCGACCACCUCCACUACCGCUCUCCGCCCCGACCACCUCUGUCGCCGCCCUCAACCCCACCCACCUCCGUCCCCGCCCUGCGUCCCAGCCACCUCCGCCGCGCCUGCCCCAACCACCUCCUCCAUGGCCGCCCUCCGUCCCGACCACCCCCGCCACCAACCUCCCUGCGGCGCGACCUUCCCUCUGCUCCAUCGCGACCUUCCCUCUGCUCUAGCGCGGCUUGCCCUCUUCUCCGGCGCGUCCUCCACAACCUUCCUUCUCUCUCCACUGCGACGGCAACACAGGGAGCCAUAGCUCGUCACCGCCCGAUUUGUUUUGGUUGUUGCUAUUUUGUUUAAUUUCUUUCGGCUUCUUGCAAGAUCUGUGUGUUGGGGCAAUGAACUUUGCAAAAAUUGUAGUUCACGUCAUGCUUUUGCUUGAACCCGUGCACCACUACUUCCGAAAUCAGCUCUACUCGUUCAAGCUACAGAGCAUUUUCUUCAGGGGAAUGGAGAGCACCCUCACCCUGACCCGAUCUGCAGCGCCGCCCUGAGUCCUCCCAACGCAGCCCCAAGCCGUUCAACUACGCAGCCCCGGGCUGUUCAACGACGGAGCCGCCGGCCGUUCAUGAACGCAACACAACCCUGGAUCCUGCUGCUCAACGUCCAGUUCAACUUCUGCUGAAUCCGGUAAAGGGAGACUUCUUGUGAGAGCAAUUCCCUCUUAAUUUUUUUUCGUUCAAAGUUCUAAUUUGCUAGCUACUUGAGCUUCAGCUAGCCUGUGUAUGUGGCUACCAAGGUGGCAUGCAUUUAGUGCUACUUUGUUUUCGUAUCCACAUGUCGCCAACGGCACUACGAAGAGGAAGGUCAGCAUCUGUCCCUCUAGAAGUUCAGUUUGUUGAUUUUCUGAAGUUUUUAAAGUGGACUACAAUCGUGUAUAUUUUUGGAGGGCCUUGUGAAGUUCAGUUUGUUUCACUUUCUAAAGUUCGGUUUCUUGAUUUUCCGAAGUUCAGUUUGUUGAUUUUCUGAAGAAAAAGGUUGCUUCACUUGCACUCCUCUAUCUGGUCCUGUGUGGUGAUCUCCUCGACUCCUAGGUUAGGCACAAACUGAGAAUUGUAGGCAUCUUUUGAGUUUAAAAUGCUUGAAUCUACAGUACAGGAUUAGAUAACUUCCAGAAGGUCUAUAGUUCAUACCCCGCUGUCAUAGCAGCGAGCAGUCGUAGGUCGUCUGGCGUGCUCUUGGCUUGUUCUGUUGAGAAAAGUUCAGAAAACUAACUGAACUCUUGGCACGGUCUGGCGGUGUUUGGCUGCAUCGGCCACCAGACUGCCAACCUCCACCACCUGACGGCAAGGAGCCAAGGUGGUGAGCUGUUGACGCUGGCACAACACCCCGACGCAAGCGAGUCAAUUGUAGCCAACGCAAGGAGAGAUUAGUAUAGUGGUUUGUAGUGUUCAAAUCCAUACAUGGCGUUUUCUGGUGGAAUUGGUUAACAUGAAGGAGCUACGGGUUAAUACUACAAGCGCUUCACUUAAAUACUCCUAGUUGUCCACCAACUUUUAGUCAUUCGCUUUUGCAAGAAGUGCUCAUCUUUUUCCUAUUGCAUGACUAGCUUUCAAUGGUGAUGGCUCUGAUUUUUUUGGGA